CCUAUGUUAAUUUUGCCAUUGACUUAUGAACUAAUUUUCAAAUUUAUUUUGAAAUUAAUCAUACCUUCUAGUUCAAGGACCUUCAUGGAUUCUGAAUGUAAAAGAAUCCCAAUGAUUUUAUCUCUUCAGAAAACAUAAAUAUAAAUUGUAUUCAAAUAUGCAUAUUACACAAAGAUGCAUUACACAUAUUGCAAGAGACAUUCACACAUAUUUUUGGUUGGUGAUUUAGCCUGAAUUUGCUAACAAUGGCAUGGUGUCUACUUUGAUUUUGUUUAGCUGGAAUAAUCAAGUAUUAGUCCAUUCUUUCACUGCUAUUAAAUACCUGAGACUGGGUAGUUUAUAGGGAAAAGAAGAUUAAUUGGCUGAAGGUUCUGCAGACUGUAUGAGAAGCAUAGUGGCUUCUGAGAAAACCUCAGGAAAGUUAGAAUCAUGGUGGUGUAGGAGGACUAGCCACAGACAAAACCACUCAGACACCGGGUUAAGAAGGAAGUGGCUUUAUUUGGCCAGGAGCAUCAGCAGACUUGCAUGUCAAGAACUGAGCUCUCUGAAGAAAGAGUUCCUGGCCCUUUUAAGAACUUACAACUCUAAGGGGUUCACGUGAAAGGGUUGUGAUAGAUUGACAUUCAGAGAUAGCAUAUGUGAUUAGAGGGGGGCUAAUCUUUAACCUCUCUCUUCAUUCCCCCAUUUGAGAACCUUACUCACUAGUGGGAGGUCUCACUCUCAUCUUCACUACCCAGGUCUUUCUGCAAGACAGAUCGACAGUGAUUCAUGUAAUACACUUGUGUAUUACAAGACAUUCAUGUAAUACAUUUGUGCUGAAGUUUUCUGAUGAACCAAGGUAGUAACAAAACUUCUUAGAAGUUGGAGAAAUAUGGGUAACAAACAAAGGAGCAAUAGGAGGGUUGCAGCUGGAGAUCUGGGGAGGAGCUGGUGUUUUUUAGUUUGAGGGUCAUGCAGCUAUAGACCCUGGGAGGAGCAGGAGUUUCUUUAGUUUGAGGGUUGGGCAGCUGCAGAACCCGGGAGAAUCUGAUGUUCUGGUUUGAGGGUCCUGCAGCUGGAGACCCAGAGAGCAGCUGGUGUUUCUUUAGUUUGAUGGCCGUGCAGCUGUAGAACCCAGGGGGAGCUGGUAUUUUUCUAGUAUGAGUGUCCUGCAGCUGGAGACCUGGAGAAGAGCUGAUGUUCUAGUUUGAGGGUCGUGCCGCUGAAGACUCAGGGAGAAGCUGAUGUUCUCGUUUGAGGAUACUGCAGCUGGAGACCUGGAGAGGAGCUGAUGUUAUUCUAGUUUGAGGAUCAUGGAGCUUGAGAUCCACAGAGGAGCAGGUAUUGUUCUAGAUUGAGGUUCAUGUAGCUGAAGACCUGGGGAGCAGCGGGUGUUUUUUAGUUUGAGGGUCAUGCAGCUGUAGAACCCGGGAGGAGCUGGUGUUUUUCUAGUAUGAGUGUCCUGCAGCUGGAGACCUGGAGAGGAGCUGAUGUUGUUCUAGUUUGAGGGUUGUGCAGCUGAAGACUUGGAGGGGAGCUGAUGUUGUUCUUGUUGAGGGUCUUUCAGCUGGAGACCCAGAGAGGAGCUGAUGUGGUUCUAGUUUAAGGGUCAUGGAGCUGGAGACCCAGAGAGGAGCUGGUGUUGUUCUGAUUUGAGGUUCAUGCAGCUGGAGACUUGGAGAGGAGCUGAUGUUGUUCUAGUUUGAGGGUCAGGCAACUGAAGACCCGGGGAGGAGCUGAUGUUGUUCUAGUUUGAGGUUCAUGCAGCUGGAGACCUGGGGAGCAGCGGGUGUUUUUUAGUUUGAGGGUCAUGCAGCUGUAGAACCCGGGAGGAGCUGGCGUUUUUCUAAUAUGAGUAUCCUGCAGCUGGAGACCAGGAGAGUUGCUGAUGUUCUAGUCUGAAGGUCGUGCAGCUGAAGACGGGGGAGGGUUCUAGUUUGAGUGCCCUGCAGCUGAAGACUCGGGAAGGAGCUGAUGUUGUCCUUGUUUUACGAUCUUUCAGCUGGAGACUCAAAGAGGAGCUGAUGUUGUUCUAAUUUGAGUGUAAUGGAGCUGGAGACCCGGGGUGGAGCUGAUGUUGUUCUAGUUUGAGUGUUGUGCAGCUGGAGAUCCAAGAAGGAGGUGGUCUUGUGGUUCAAAUCUGAGGGUCCUGGAGCUGGAAUCUAUGGGAGGAGUCAAUGCUGCCACUGAUGUCUUAGAUUGUGCAGCAGAAGACCCACAGAGGAGCCGGUGUUGGUGUUCUAGUGUGAGGGUGUGGAUCUGGAGAUCCAUGGGGGAGUGACGUUCUUCUAGUUUUUGGGUUGUGGUGCUGGAGACCCAGGGAGGAGCUCAUGGUGUUCUAGUUGAGGGUCGUGGUGCUGGAGACCCAGGGAGGAGUCGAUCCUUCUGUUGUUUAAGUCUGAAGGUCAUCGAGCUGGAGAUCCGGGGAAGAGCUGGUGCUGCGGUUCAAGUCUGAGGGUCCUGGAGCUUGAGACCCCAGGAGGAGAUGGUGCUGCCACGAAUGUCUUAGGUUGUAAAGCUGGAGACCUGCGAAGGAGCCGGUGUUGCUGUUUUAGUGUGAGGUUUGUGGAGCUGGAGUCCCAGGGGGAAAAUGGUGUUUUUCUGGCUUAAGGGUCAUGCAGCUGACCCUCAGAUGACCUCAAACUAUAACAACACUGCUCCACCCUGGAUCUCCAGCUCCAAAAUCCUCACAAUAGAAAAACAUCUGCUCCUCCCUGAGUGUCCAGCUCCACGAUGCUCAAACUAGAUUAAAAUCAGCUCCUUCCCAGGUGUCCAGCUGCAUGACCCUCAAACUAGAAACACCCGGGGAGGUUUUAUUAGUUUGCUGCUGUUUUUCUAGAUUGAGGGUCAUGCAGCUGGAGACGUGGGGAGGAGCUGAUGUUGUUCGAGUUUGAGGGUCAUGGAGCUUGGAGACCCAGGCAGGAGCUGGUGUUUUUCUAGUUUGAGGGUUGUGCAGCUGGAGACCCAGGGAGAAGCUGAUGUUGCUCUUAUUUGAGAGCUGUGGAGCUGGAGACCUGGAGAGGAGCUGAUGGUGUUCUAGUUUGAUGGUUGCAGAGCUGGAGACCCAGGGAGGAGCUGUUGUUUUUCUAGUUUGAGUUUCGUGCAGCUGAAGACCAUUGGAGGAGCUGAUGUUCUAGUUUGAGGGUUGUGCAGCUGGAGAUACAGGGAGAAGGUGGUCUUGCAGUUUAAAUGUGAGGGUCUUGGAGCUGGAAUCCAUGGGAGGAGCCAAUGCUGCCACUGAUGUCUUAGGUUGUGGAGCUGAAGACCCGCAGAGGAGCCAGUGUUGGUGUUCCAGUGUGAGGUUCGUGGAUCUGGAGACCCACGGAGGAGCAGGUGUUGGUGUUCUAGUGUGAGGGUCAUGGAUCUGGAGAUCCAUGGGGGAGUGGUGUUCUUCUAGUUUGUGGGUUGUGGUGCUGGAGACCCAGGGAGGAGCUGAUUCUUUUGUUGUUUAAGUCUGAAGGUCGUCAAGCUGGAGAUCCGGGGAAGAGCUGGUGCUGCGAUUCAAGUCUGAGGGUCCUGGAGCUUGAGACCCCAGGAGGAGAUGGUGCUGCCACUAAUGUCUUAGAUUGUAAAGCUGGAGAUCUGUGGAGGAGCUGGUGUUUCUGUUCUAGUGUAAGGUUUGUGGAUCUGGAGUCCCAGGGGUGAGCAGUGUUGUUUUAGUUUGAGGGUCAUGGAGUUAGAGACCCGGGGAGGAGCUGAUGUUGUAGUUUGAGGGUCGUGCAGCUGGAGACCCAGGGAGGAGCUGGUGUGUUUCUAGUUGGAGGGUUGUGGAGCUGGAGAUUCAC
rnacentral:lncRNA from 10 species